UUUACCGAACAGCUACAAGUUACCCAAAGAUAGAUACAGAUAACAUACAACCAUAUGAUUAGUUUGUAAAAGUGCGACACACUUGAGAAGUACAUGAUUUAUCUCCGACUUCUUCAUCUGCUUUAAUAUCAGUAACAAAACUGCAUUAUAAAGGAAGUAUUUCAGUAUUAGUAUCAUAACAGUUUUGACUUAAGCUCACUUUCUUAAUAAAGCUUUUAAUCUAACACUUCUAGACAUAAUGGAGUACUUUCAGAUCGCCGUAUCACCUCCUUUUCUGAUGUUAAAGAUCUAAAUACUUGUUCCACUGCUAGCAGAAAAACAUACUGAAGCAGUAAGAGGAGCCCUGCAGGCGACUUUCACACAUUAAAGCAACAUAUGUGAAGAUUUUCUAAGCCUCCUCCUUCAGCGUGUCUCUCAGUGGGAGGCAGACAGUGGACAGAAUAAUUAUUAGGAAACUCAACGUAAAGCACACCAGGAGAAACUCAUGACUGUCCUCAUAACUUAGACCAAUAAAUGCUCGUAGCCACAGCCUAAAUCUUGCCAUGCCACAUCAUCAUUAGAGCACAAAACUGGACAAAAAAAGAAAAAAGAAAAACAGUUUCACAUGCACUAUUAUAUCAGCGUCAGAGGACUGCGUCACUGCUCUGAACUGUAAUUCCCGUAUAAACUAAAAUAAAUCAUUUGACUUCUGUGUAAUCGUAAAUUAAAAGGUCUGGCUUACUCGUGUCCGUGAAAAGUUGCAGAUCCUUGUGAAAUUUGAAGGAAAACCUCACAAAGAUCCUGCAAGCAAAUAAAGGUGUUGUCUCCCACCAAGUCAAACAGUAAAGCUCCUCAGCUCUCUGCACACAAUGAAAAGGAGAUGAGGAAAAAGAGAAAACUAAACGAAAAGGGCCCAGGCUGAUUUUUAUGUGAAUGUUGACUAAGAAUGGUCUCCAUCUGUGCAAACCAACUCAAACAGUUACUUCCUGUGAGUCACAGUCUGAAGCCUGGAGCAAAUCACUGAUAUUUAUCAUGCAAGAUGGCACACAUUCCCAGGGUUAUACUUUCUGCUGCUGGUCUCACAGUCAGGCUCUGGCCUGCUGAGAGAGGCUACUUUUCAAUCAUGUGAGGAGCUGGUUUUUAAAGUUGCAGGAGAGAGCAAGUUUUUGCCGAAGGGAGACUAAAGUUACAAGUGUGUGGCAUUUCGUGGAGGGAGAAUGAAAUUGGAGGCUUGGAGGGACGGAUAAGGACAGGCUGGGAAAAAGGGAAGUUGGCAGUGGUAGCGGGUCAACAGCGCGCCUCAGAGCCUUACCCACUGCACCAGAUCCGAUUACAGCGUUUCGGCACUCGUCGACGCCUUUGGGAUGGAACCGUCGCACUCCAAAAUAUCAAUCCUCCAUCUCCUCCUGCAUCUCAUUUCUAUAUUGUUAUCAACACACUUUGAGAAAAAAAAAGCAUCCCGUAAAGACGGCUCAAAGAGGUCACACGUGUUGGUUUUGCAUUAAAAGCUUCUUAAAGCGCUGUAAUAGAGCAGGAAAACCAUGUUUUGACCCGUUUCACUCAUAGCUGCGCUCCUUCAAUAUGCAGCUGUUGUUAAUUAAAUAUAAUUAUUAAACAGAUGUCCAAGCUUCAUUUUUGUCAUUUUUUAAAACUUAAUGUGACUUUGUGCAAACAUUGAAACUUCCUAUUUUUUUCUUUUCUUUUUUUAAAUCAACCAGGAUGUACUCAGAAAUUUGCUACCUUUACUCCGGGCUUCGGGAUUAAAAUGUCACACAAUUAAAAUAUCAUUUGUCCACCGACUUGUCAAAUGGGCUUUAAAAAUCCCCGCGGGCCAAAGUGUCAGAGUUUGUGCAAACACAAACAGGCCGCGAAAUUAUACAAAAAAAUACACAUAUAUACUCGACUUACAGAAUAUUCUACAAUCACUGUGCAAUUACACCCGCGUAUUUCCUUUCUGGUUCCAAAUCCUGCAAGUCCUGCAUGCCGACACUGUAUUACAGUUAUUACAGUUUCCUUUUAUUUUAUGACAUUAGACAGCUACGUGGACUCUUUGUCCUGGGGUCCUUAAAGACUUUUC
ensembl:lncRNA